rnacentral:rRNA from 1 species
UACGGAGGGGGCUAGCGUUGUUCGGAAUUACUGGGCGUAAAGCGCACGUAGGCGGCUUUGUAAGUAAGAGGUGAAAGCCCGGAGCUCAACUCCGGAACUGCCUUUUAGACUGCAUCGCUUGAAUCCAGGAGAGGUGAGUGGAAUUCCGAGUGUAGAGGUGAAAUUCGUAGAUAUUCGGAAGAACACCAGUGGCGAAGGCGGCUCACUGGACUGGUAUUGACGCUGAGACUCGAAAAGCGUGGGGAGCGAACAGG